rnacentral:rRNA from 1 species
GACGAACGCUGGCGGCGUGCUUAACACAUGCAAGUCGUACGGUAAGGCCCUUUCGGGGGUACACGAGUGGCGAACGGGUGAGUAACACGUGCGUAACCUGCCCACAACUUUGGGAUAACGCUAGGAAACUGGUGCUAAUACUGGAUAUGUGCUCCUGCUGCAUGGUGGGGGUUGGAAAGCUCCGGCGGUUGUGGAUGGACUCGCGGCCUAUCAGCUUGUUGGUGGGGUAGUGGCCUACCAAGGCGGCGACGGGUAGGCGGCCUGAGAGGGUGACCGGCCACAUUGGGACUGAGAUACGGCCCAGACUCCUACGGGAGGCAGCAGUGGGGAAUAUUGCACAAUGGGCGCAAGCCUGAUGCAGCAACGCCGCGUGCGGGAUGACGGCCUUCGGGUUGGAAACCGCUUUCAGCAGGGACGAAGCUUUUUGUGACGGUACCUGCAGAAGAAGCACCGGCUAACUACGUG